GUGGGGAAUCUUGCGCAAUGGGCGAAAGCCUGACGCAGCCAUGCCGCGUGAAUGAUGAAGGUCUUAGGAUUGUAAAAUUCUUUCACCGGGGACGAUAAUGACGGUACCCGGAGAAGAAGCUCCGGCUAACUUCGUGCCAGCAGCCGCGGUAAUACGAAGGGGGCUAGCGUUGCUCGGAAUUACUGGGCGUAAAGGGCGCGUAGGCGGACAGUUUAGUCAGAGGUGAAAGCCCAGGGCUCAACCUUGGAAUUGCCUUUGAUACUGGCUGUCUUGAGUGCGGGAGAGAUGAGUGGAACGCCGAGUGUAGAGGUGAAAUUCGUAGAUAUUCGGAAGAACACCAGUGGCGAAGGCGACUCACUGGCCCGUUACUGACGCUGAGGCGCGAAAGCGUGGGGAGCAAACAGGAUUAGAUACCCUGGUAGUCC
rnacentral:rRNA from 1 species